AUUUAAAAUUUAAUUUUCUUUUUUGCCUCUCCAACAGCACCCCUGGCAAAUAUUUCAGAAGCACCAACGGGAUCUGCAUCAAAAGCACCAUUGGCAGUUGUGUCAGGUAGUGGGUUUAGCAUACUUAUACAGUUUUAUAGGUUUUAUG
rnacentral:lncRNA from 1 species